ensembl:processed_transcript Gm13760 predicted gene 13760
CAGAGAUACACUAAUACAGAUUUGGUGACACAUUUCAUUUGGUUUCCUUCUCAUUCAUGAACCAUGCAGCUGAAUAUCAAUGUGACAGAGGUCAUUCUUCUUGGCUUGACACAGGACCCCAGCAGGAAGAACAUAGUGUUUGCCAUUUUCCUGCUCUUUUACAUGGGGACCUUACUGGGCAACUUGCUUAUCAUUGUUACUGUCAAGACAAGCCAGGCUCUUGGGAGUCCCAUGUAUUUCUUCCUGUUCUACUUAUCCUUGUCUGACACCUGCUUCUCUACAACUGUAGCUCCUAGAACAAUUGUGGAUUCCUUACAGAAGGAGGCCUCUAUCUCUUUCACUGAGUGCAUAAUCCAAAUCUUUACAUUUCAUUUCUUUGGCUGUCUGGAGAUCUUU